CAAAGAUAUACGGCCCAGAUUCACCUGCAGUUCGACCGACUUAACCCAAACAGUAAAAACGCUACCCGCAUAAGGUUGCGGUUCAGUUGAUCUACCUUCUCCUCUCCGUUUCACUCCAUGUCUUUCUUCUCGGUAUCUGUUUCAGUGAAAAAAAAAAAAAAAGAGUGAAACUCCAACGAACUUUCUAAAAACGUUCUCAAAUUUUCUAACCUAAAACAUUUCAAAUUGUUAAAUCCAGAACUCCCUGAUAACGGCGACGUCUUCUCCUUCUUCCGUUUUAGUUCGUACCAUCCUGGAAUGGGAGACGGUGAGUCAGUAGUCACCGACUCAACAGCAAUUAUGGAUAAUACAUCAGCAGCCUAUAAUUCUACUGGUUCUGGUGCUUACCCUUCUGUAGCUAUUGGAGAUCCUACUGCUGCUGGUGCACCAGCAUAUGGAACUUAUGUUGCAUCUGAUGGUGACCCAAAUUCAGCCGGUCAAGAUAGUCAAAUCAGUGCAAUGUAUGACAGUAAGCCAGCUGGUGGAUCAACUGAUGAGAAUGCUGCCAAUGAUGGAAAUACAGCAGCGGAUGCAUAUAAAACUGCUGGUUAUUAUUCAUCUUUAACUGGCAGUGUUGUAAAUGAAGCCGAAAAUGUUGCAACAGUUGAGAAUGGAAAUGUUUUUGAUAACGUAAGUGGAGCUUCUGCCGCACCAGAGUUUGUGGAUGGUUCUGUUCUAGUUACACAUAUGUCUGGUGAAGAGGAUCGUUUGUGGAGUAUUGUGAGAGCUAAUUCUUUGGAUUUUAAUGCUUGGACUACAUUGAUUGAGGAGACAGAGAAGGUUUCAGAGAACAAUAUAAUGAAAAUUCGAAAAGUUUAUGAUGCUUUUUUGGCUGAGUUUCCUUUGUGUUAUGGUUACUGGAAAAAGUAUGCGGAUCAUGAAGCACGCAUAGGCUCUGUGGACAAAGUUGUGGAGGUUUAUGAAAGAGCAGUUCAGGGAGUGACUUAUUCUGUGGACAUCUGGGUGCUAUAUGGUGCAUUUGCCAUAGAAACAUAUGGAGAUCUGGAAACCAUCCGAAGGCUUUUUGAACGAGGAUUAGCAUAUGUUGGAACUGAUUAUCUAUCUUUCCCUCUUUGGGAUAAAUACAUUGAAUAUGAAUACAUGCACCAGGAAUGGAGUCGCCUUGCUGCUAUCUAUACUAGAGUAUUAGAGAAUCCUAAUCAACAGCUAGAUAGGUAUUUCAACAGUUUUAAAGAGCUGGCUGGAAGUCGACCUUUGUCAGAAUUAAGAACUGCUGAGGAAGCUGCUGCCAAUGCAUCAGGUGUAGUUUCAGAGGCUGAUGGACAAGUAAAUGAUGGAGAGGUUCAUCCUGAUGCUGCAGAACAAACUCCUAAUCCUGUAAGUGCUAGCUCAACAGAAGCAGAAGAGUUGGAGAAGUAUGUUGCUGUUAGAGAAGAGCUGUAUAAGAAAGCUAAAGAGUUCGACUCUAAGAUUAUUGGUUUUGAAACAGCUAUUAGAAGGCCUUACUUUCAUGUGCGGCCUCUCAAUGUUUCUGAGCUUGAAAAUUGGCACAACUACCUGGACUUUAUCGAAAGAGAGGGUGACAUCAAUAAGGUGGUCAAAUUAUAUGAAAGGUGCCUAAUAGCCUGUGCCAAUUAUCCCGAGUACUGGAUACGAUAUGUUUUAUAUAUGGAAGCCAGUGGAAGCAUGGAUCUUGCUGAUAACACACUUGCCCGUGCUACGCAAGUCUUUGUCAAGAGGCAACCAGAGAUCCACCUUUUUGCUGCCCGAUUUAAGGAGCAGAAUGGGGACAUAUCAGGUGCUCGAGCUGCUUAUCAACUUGUUCACAGUGAAAUUUCACCUGGUCUAAUUGAGGCAAUUAUUAAGCAUGCAAAUAUGGAACGCCGUCUGGGGAAACUUGAAGAUGCUUUCUCUUUAUAUGAGCAAGUUAUUGCAAUUGAAAAAGGCAAAGAGCAUUCUCAAACAUUACCAAUGCUGUAUGCACAGUACUCUAGAUUUUUGUACUUGGUUUCUGGAAAUGCAGAGAAGGCUAGGGAAAUUCUAACUGGAGCAUUUGACCAAGUUCAACUGUCUAAACCAUUCCUUGAGGCAUUAAUACAUUUUGAAACAAUUUUGCCACCACCAAGGCAGAUUGAUUAUUUAGAAUUGUUGGUUAACAAGUUUAUAGCCCCGAACUCAGAUGGCACUGCUGCAGAGAGAGAAGAUCUAUCUAGCAUAUUUUUGGAGUUCUUGAGUCUCUUUGGAGAUGUACAGUCUAUUAAAAAGGCAGAAGAUCGACAUGCGAAGCUCUUUCUACCUGAUAGACCCAUGUCGGAAUUAAGAAAACGUCAUGCUGAAGAUUUUUUGUCUUCAGAUAAGACAAAGCUGGCAAAAUCAUACUCUGGUGCCCCUUCACCUGGCCAGUCUUUGAUGGGUGCCUAUCCAAAUGCUCAAAACCAGUGGCCUGCUGGUUAUGGUGCACAGCCUCAAACUUGGCCGCCCACUACACAGGCACAGGCACAGGCACAGGCACAGGCACAGGCACUGGCACAACCAUGGACUCCUGGCUACAGCCAACAGGCUGCUUAUGGUGCAUAUAGUAGUUAUGGUAGCAAUUAUGCAAUUCCACAAGUACCUACAUCAGUUCCACAAAGUGUCGGUUAUGGUGCUUAUCCCACUACGUAUCCUGUUCAGACCUUUCCUCAACAAAGUUAUGCUCAACCAACUGUUGCGACGGCAUUAACCCCAGCUCAGCAACCUGCUGCAGCAGUUCCUCAGACUUACUAUGGGACAUACUAUUGAGACUGCAGUAAUAUGACUACCAUUUUCUUUGCUGUCUCUAAUUUUGUCUUAUUGAUCAUCUGUGCGCCUAACCUGACCUGUGCUUUCUCUUUUUAACUUAAGACCUGUACUUGAUCUUUCUAACAUAAGACUGCUUAGCAGUUGGCUAAGGUGGACAUUUUAGGUUUUUGGGCGGGGUGAUGCUGUUGGGGACUGAGGGAUGUUGAGAACAGUAAACUUUUUUCGGCGACAAUGGUAAAUUGUUUAGUCGGGCUUCUAAUUGGCAGACCAAAAGAAAGAAAAGGAAAGGAAAGCAAGAAGAAGUUUUAUUUUCUCAAAUUAGAGGUUACAGGAGUCCGUGUUUCUAUUUAGAUAGAUAUGUUUCAUUAUUUCGGAGCGCAAAAAGGCCAAAGCCUAUAGUUUUUAUGAAUUUGUUAGGCCCGAAAAGGAAAUGGUAGUUUCCGAUAUGUGGGUAGGUCGGUCUCAGCUGCCUGCCUCACUCGGACGUCAGUGGAAGCCAGCAUGUUUUUGAUUCGGACUGCACAACGAUUGGGAUGAUCUUAUCCGUGACCAUGAUCCAUCAAUACCUUUUGCACCUUUGUUUUCUCUUUUGUUAUAGGGUUAAUUUCUUACAUUGGUAUUACUUGCGCCAGAUAUUGUGAAUGGACCUCAGUGUGCUUGCACCUAAGGCCAGAGCAGAAGAGAAAAGAGGUGAAAAAACGGAAAAUUUAUUGGAAAUCGAUUUGGAUUGAAUUG